UACGUAGGGUGCGAGCGUUGUCCGGAAUUACUGGGCGUAAAGAGCGCGCAGGCGGUCGAUUUAGUCGCGUGUGAAAGCCCCCGGCUCAACUGGGGAGGGUCACGCGAUACUGAUCGACUCGAAGGCAGGAGAGGGUAGUGGAAUUCCCGGUGUAGUGGUGAAAUGCGUAGAUAUCGUAAGGAAGACCAGUGGCGAAGGCGGGUCUCUGGACAGUUCCUGACGCUGAGGCACGAAGGUCAGGGGAGCAAACGGG
rnacentral:rRNA from 1 species